rnacentral:rRNA from 1 species
GACGGGGGAGGCAAGCGCUAUCCGGAAUCACUGGGCGUAAAGCGUCUGUAGGUGGUGAUGCAAGUCACGGGUGCAAAACUCUGUCUCAACCGGAGGAAAGCCAGUGAAACUGCAUGACUAGAGUGUGGGAGAGGUAGAAGGAAUACCCUGAGUAGCGGUGAAAUGCGUAGAUACAGGGAAGAACACCGGAGGCGAAAGCGUUCUACUGGAACACAACUGACACUGAGAGACGAAAGCUAGGGGAGCGAAUGGG